GUCAGUGCGGCCGGCAGCAGGCGCCCGGCUGCCGGCUCCGCGGCAUACCGGCUCGGACGGAGGCUCACAGCACGCUCACCAGUGCCGUCACGUCAAAUGUUGUUGCCCGGAUGCGGCCGUCGGAUGCCAGUCAAGCGGACGCCAGCCCGCUGGCAGGCGGGUCGGGGCUUCGACCGGCGCGCCGUCAGCAGGGUCGAGCCGCCCAGCGCGACUCAUGAUGGUCGGUCGGGCCGCCGCUGACCGGACACUGAUGGCUGAACCGGCGCCGGAGGUCAGCCGCCGGCCCGGAACUGCUGGCGGGUCCGCCGCCUGAUGGCGACGGCAUUCACCCUGGGGUCAGCCCGGGUCAGCUUGAGGUCAACCUUUGGUCAGCUGGAGGUUAACCUUAGGUCGGCCGUGGGUCAGCCUGAGGUCAGCUGGGGUCGGUUGGAGGUUAACCUUAGGUCGGCCGAUUGUCAGCUAGGGUUGGCUGCAGCAUGCCGGCAGUACAAAGCGCGGUGCGGACGCGGCCCGACGCCGCGCGCUUCACCCGGCAGGGACUGGCUCCUCCGUUGCCGGCACUACCCGGUCCCGUCGCGCUGGUGGCGGCCGCCCCGCGUUCAGUGCAGGGUAUUUUAUAGCGCGAUCGUGUCGGUGGACGAGUCCGCCCGGUGAUAGUAUGUGUGUUGGCGCAAUCUCGUUUUAGGUCGGAUUUGUUGCAGAGAGCCUGUGCCCGGGAUCGGACGAGGGUGGCCCGAGUGUGGCUGUGCGCCCGCGCGCGCCCGGGAUGGCUGGGCUGGUCCCCGUGCCCCGGGGCGCCGUGACCCCCGAACAGCGGUAGGGGGAGUGCGGCGACGCGUCCCUCCAAGCCGGCGCAGUUAGUGAUAUGGCGUGGUGAAUUGUGGUGUAGGUUCGAUUCGACCCGGAUCCGGUAUUGCCUGUUGUCAGUGUUGACCGGCGCUGGCGUGUUGUGUCCCGGGCCAGGCUUCGCUGCUGGGGGUUUAGCUUGUUGGACCUGGAAUACACUUCCAUGUUGGGAGUUUGUCAUCGAUGUGAUUAUGCAUGGGUUGUCUAAGUCACUGCCGCGGAACUGUGAACUUUCAUGUGCUGACGCCUGAUGUUCGCACAUUGUGUCAUAACGAUAUUGUCACGUGCAGGGCAACUGUUGUCAUUUAGGCAUUUUUCACUGUUUGAAACAAUUAAACAAGAUUUUGCCUGCUCCA